rnacentral:rRNA from 1 species
UGAGGAAUAUUGCGCAACGGACGCAAGUCUGGCGCAGCAACGCCGCGUGGGCGAUGAAGGUCUUCGGAUCGUAAAGCCCUUUUCUAGAGGAAGAGGAAGGACGGUACUCUAGGAAUAAGUCUCGGCUAACUACGUGCCAGCAGCCGCGGUAAAACGUAGGAGACAAGCGUUAUCCGGAUUCAUUGGGCGUAAAGGGCAUGUAGGUGGUGCCUUAAGUUGGAUGUGAAAUCUCCUGGCUUAACUAGGAGGGGUCAUCCAAAACUGGGGCUCUUGAGGGCAGGAGAGGGAAAUGGAAUUCCCGGUGUAGCGGUGGAAUGCGUAGAUAUCGGGAGGAACACCAGUGGCGAAAGCGGUUUCCUGGCCUGCAUCUGACACUAAUAUGCGAAAGCUAGGGGAGCAAACGG